CUGUAAACGAGAAGAGAAGAAAUAAAACUCGCGGCUGAUUGAGAUCGAUAAAUAGAAAGAGAAAUCGAGAGACGAAAGAGGAAUUUAAGAGCAGAUUUGGGAGAGAAAGAGUUUGUUGCUGCUGUUAGAUGGAGAAGAUUAAGAAAUAAGGGUUUGAUUUUGCAUCUGAAAUAGAGAUGGGAUCUUGCUGUGAAUCGAAGAACUGAAAUUGAGAGAAGGGUUUGGUUGACCAUGGCUAAGUACCAAGAUUAAAAAAAAAAUCCAAUUAUUUUUAUUCAGCAGUUUGAUUAUGGAGAAUUGAAUGGAAACCCUAAUUUUAUAUUCGCCAAGCGAGAAUUCCUGAUGAUUUCACGGGUUUUCCUUUUCGAGGUAAGUUUUUAAAAAACCCUAAUUACAAUUACAGUUUGAAUUUGUAAAGUAUUCCCCGCAAUUGUAUCACUGAUAUGAAAUACCACAAUUACAAUUGUUUGUUUUUGAAUUUGUAUACUUAAUUGCGUAUUGUUUUUGAGUACUUAUUUGCAUUUUGUUACAUAAUGCUUGGUGUAAAAUUGUGUGAUUGGUGCGUUGAUUUAGGCAAGCAACUUUCUAACGCAAUAUAUGCGUAGUUCAAGAAUCUAAUGAGGAAUCAGGUUAAUCAGAAGGUGGUCCAGGCAUUGGUACUCAAGAAGUGGAAAUUCGAAAAUAAGAGAUCAGGCAACAAUGGAGUCUUUGCCUUCAUCUCAUUGGGAGUUCGCAGCUAUAUAUGGAAAAUUGGAAACUGAAUAGUUUGAACUUAAUUUAACUCAUGGUCUAUUUGUUGUUGUGUGUGUAAUGUAUGUAAAAUUGUGGAUCCAUGUUAUUGGGAAUGAGGAAGCCGAUAGAAAGGAAGCUGUCUAGUGAAAAAAGAAAAACAGGCAAGGCAUGAUAAACAACAAAAUCCCAUCUCCGUGUGACAACCCUAACCUUAUUUUAUUUGGGUUUAAAGGUUGACAACCCACACAACAACAAUUGUGUGUUAAUAUCAAUGCAAAAAUGCGCGUAUACUAAGAAACAUAUUUGCUCUUUUGCAGGAUCAAGGUCAAGAGAAUCAACAGGUUUUCAUCAAAGAAUUACUUCGUUUGUGGUUCAUUAAUUCAAGGAAGCAAGAAUGAGAAGAAAUCGAUGUUGUGAAGGAGAUCGAUGAAUUCUUACUGAAUGCAGGUGAAAUUGAGAUGGGUUUGUGGUUUACUGAUGCCGUUUGAACUUAAUAAUUGCUUUGAUAAGAUUAAUGCCGUUUGUUUAAUGAUUUUAUGAGGUAUUGCUAUUAGUGUUGUAACAGGUUAGGAUAACAGAAAGAAGGAGAGCAAUAGAGCUUUCAGCUGAAAGGGAACGAUGUAGCAAGUAUGUACAGAAUAAAAAACAAAUUACCCAAAAAGGACCUUGCUGAAAUGACCAUUAACCAUAUAUGAGAAACUGUUGACUAACGAACUACUUAUUAAUGUACACCCACUGUUACAUUACAAAGGGUUUUCAGACGCAUUUAGCUUGGGUCGCGUCGUUUAGCCUAAUUGGACAAUUUGGCGAAACAUGUUUUAAAUUGAAGGGUUAACAACUUUUGAGGCUUUCAUGAUAUUAAGCCCAUUCCUGCUACAGAGUCGAUGAUGGAUUAACUCAAGGUAAGAUCUUCAUCUCCCAGGGUUUCGGUUAAUAAGCAGUAGCAUGUUUCCGCAAGGUGGAUAGUUCUGCCCAAUUUUUUAAGCUAAAAAUUUUAAUAUGAGGCCUUAGAUUGUUCUGUACUCGACUUGGUUCGUAACUCAACUUCAGGCUACCUUUUAUAAGGAAUGGAAGUCAAACUCACAGUAAAGAGGGUUGGGGUGAUGGAGAUGACUGGCUUCUACUCAAUCGAUAAUCAAAAUUACGCAUUUAAGGGCUAAGUAAGUUGCAUAUACUUUGUAAUUAACCCAUAUCAGUUCGCGCUGCACUUCUGAUCACAUCUCAAAUUCUUUCCAAUUGUACUUUUUUGUAGGACCAACAUUUUUAUUAACUUUUAGUUAUCAAAUUUAACCACAUCAACAUUUAGUCAUUGCCUUGGCUUAUCUAAUUUAAGUACCACAUCAGUAGGUGCUUGCAAAGUGACUGCCUAUAGAAAUCCACUUUAAGCACCAAUGCAUGGUACAACUAUGGCAUGUCUAACUCAAGUUUGAAAGUUGUUUGCUUGAUUCAAAUAGGUCCACUCCCAUUAUUCUUUGAAUUUGUGACCAAUUCUUAACCUUCAUUUAUGACAUGCAUGGCGGUGCCAAUAGGUUUUGUUUCUUAGGUAGAACUGCCUUAAAAACUACCUAAUUCAUGAAUCCGAUAUAGCUGCCAAUAGGUUUUGUUUCUUAGGUAGAACUGCCUUAAAAACUACCUAAUUCGUGAAUCCUAUAUAGCCCGGCUUUUGUAUCCAUCUACUAUAUAUGUAUAUAUGUGUUUAUGUGUGUGUUUAUAUAUGUAGAUCUUCUUUUUCGCGUUUAUACAGUUUGUACUUGAUUUCAAAUUAUGCUUUACUUCACUAUUGCAUCCUUCGUGAUUGGCUUGGCAGAAAGUUUGAUUUGCAAUAUGGAUAGACUAUGAAAAGUCUUAGGACUUGGUUUGCCUUCCUACCUGCUGCAUUUGAAUUCCUAGCAUCUUGCUAACAGUCGGCAUAGACUACAAUCUGCGGUUGAAGGCAUAAAGCGAAAAACUACUGUCGACAAUUUUGGUUCAAGUUAAGUGCAUAAAUACCGUUUGGGUUUAAAUGAUGUUCUCGAGUGUUUGAGGAUCAAAACGAAAUAGAAGUAAUUUUUUUAUCCUGUUCAUUCUGAUCCAAAGAUUUUGUUAAAUGUAUGAUUCAUCCAAAAACUAAUGAAAGGCUAAUUCUUCAU